rnacentral:rRNA from 1 species
GACAGAGGCCUCAAGCGUUAGGCGGAAUCACUGGGCUUAAAGCGUGUGUAGGCGGAUCGUUAAGUGCCUUGUGAAAUCCCACGGCUUAACUGUGGAACGGCUGGGCAUACUGGCGGUCUUGAGCCAUCUAGGGGCGACUGGAACAAACGGUGGAGCGGUGAAAUGCGUAGAUAUCGUUUGGAACGCCAAUGGUGAAAACAGGUCGCUGGGGAUGCACUGACGCUGAGACACGAAAGCCAGGGGAGCAAACGGG